UGGGGAAUCUUCCGCAAUGGACGAAAGUCUGACGGAGCAACGCCGCGUGAGUGAUGACGGCCUUCGGGUUGUAAAGCUCUGUUAAUCGGGACGAAAGGCCUUCUUGCGAAUAGUUAGAAGGAUUGACGGUACCGGAAUAGAAAGCCACGGCUAACUACGUGCCAGCAGCCGCGGUAAUACGUAGGUGGCAAGCGUUGUCCGGAAUUAUUGGGCGUAAAGCGCGCGCAGGCGGAUCAGUCAGUCUGUCUUAAAAGUUCGGGGCUUAACCCCGUGAUGGGAUGGAAACUGCUGAUCUAGAGUAUCGGAGAGGAAAGUGGAAUUCCUAGUGUAGCGGUGAAAUGCGUAGAUAUUAGGAAGAACACCAGUGGCGAAGGCGACUUUCUGGACGAAAACUGACGCUGAGGCGCGAAAGCCAGGGGAGCGAACGGGAUUAGAUACCCCGGUAGUCCUGGCCGUAAACGAUGGGUACUAGGUGUAGGAGGUAUCGACCCCUUCUGUGCCGGAGUUAACGCAAUAAGUACCCCGCCUGGGGAGUACGACCGCAAGGUUG
rnacentral:rRNA from 1 species